CUCACCAUCAGUUGCUGUUUCACUGAUAACUGCACUACAUCUCAACCCACAUGUAAGAACCUCAGUUAUUGGCCAUUUAUUCUUCUGCGAUAUUUGGUAACUGGAAAACUACAUUUCAUUUUGUAUACCCCUCAACAUUGGGAGGUAUGAUAUUCAGGACAAGGCUUAGGCUAAAAGGGGCAUGACCGCGAUACCAUUGUCGAUGGACAAAAUGGCAUGACCUAUUCAGAAAGAGGGUGGGGCAUCCCAGAAGGGGCAAAAGGCUCGAAAUUGGGACUUCUCUGUCAGAUUCAGGACAGCUGGGGGUACGGAUUAUGUUAUGCUUACAUAAAAGUUGACUGCGUUCAUAGAGCAUUGGUACCAUUCACGGGACCAUAUUAGUUCCUCCAGAAUAUAGACUUAUUAACUAAAACGUAAACGUUUGGGAAAUCAAAGGGGAUUUAAAAUAGAAUUAAAGGACCACUAUAGUGCCAGGAAAACUUACUCGUUUUCCUGGCACUAUAGUGCCCUGAGGGUGCCCCACCCUCAGGGACCCCCUCCCGCCCGGCUCUGGAAGGGGGAAAGGUGUUUAAACUUACCUUUUUCCAGCACUGGGCGGGGAGCUCUCCUCCUUCUCUCCUCCUCCGUUCCUCCUUCUGGGCUGAAUGCGCACGAACGGCAAGAGCUGCGCGCACAUUCAGCCUGUCGCAUAGGAAAGCAUUUACAAUUUACAAUGCUUUCCUAUGGACGCUUGCGUGCUCUCACUGUGAAAAUCACAGUGAAAAGCACGCAAGCGCCUCUAGUGGCUGUCAAUGAGACAGCCACUAGAGGAUUAGGGGAAGGCUUAACCCAUUCAUAAUUAUAGCAGUUUCUCUGAAACUGCUAUAAUUAUGAAAAAAUGGGUUAACCCUAGAAGGACCUGGCACCCAGACCACUUCAUUAAGCUGAAGUGGUCUGGGUGCCUAGAGUGGUCCUUUAACAUUUUAGGCCAAAACAGACAAACUGGAUCCUAAAAUGUGAAAUUUACUUUGAAUCCAUUUUAAAAUCUUUGACAAUUUACACUAUAGUAAAUAACCUUGCAAAUGUUACUCCGUGUCACUAUUGAUGUUUCUGGGUAGCUCUGCCUGUAUGUUUGGCAGUCGGAGUGUUUAACUGUUUCUGUAGCUUUCUGAUUGCCGGAUAUUUUGUAUGUGUGAUUUAUCAUGGAAUUGUGACUGUCCUGCCAAAAGCGGGACUCUUGGGAAUACUAUUAUAUAUUAAAGGAGAAAUUUAAGGUGAAUUCAAAGUACAUUUGAAAUUUAAGGUCAAAAUAAAUGAACUGGAAAAAUAAAAUGAUGUUUUCAGUUUGGCUUCUCUGGUCUCACAUAUGAAAUUCAAUACAUAACCCUUUAAAAUUUCUACCACUCACAGUCUUAUUUCACCAACUUAUUUCAUCAUCUUUCGUGGGACAGUCCUGUUUUUUUGACCAGAUAUUUUGGUUCUUUAAUUCUUGUUUCUUGCUAUCAGGUCCAUUGCCUCCUUGUAGUUACACCCAACAAUUUAAAAUUAGUCACACAAUAAAAGACAUACAGUAAUGUGAUGACUAAUCCAUAACACUAUUUUCUUACAAAUGCUUUCAAGUUUCAGCCAUUAGUAAUGAGCCUAAUGGACUUGUCUGCCGAUCCUGCUCCACUGAAAACAAUACUCAAUGUCCCAAGAUUACAGCAAUGAACUGCACGGGAAAUGAAAAAAUGUGUGUACUACGGAACACUACCAUAAAAGGUAAUUAGAAAAAUGUAAUGUAAAGGAAAUCACAAUAUAAUUCAUUUAGCUUAGCAUCUCUAUAUAAUGAUCAUUUAAAAAGCAACAAAACCGUUGAUUGAGCAAGUCCAUCUCUUUUAUGAUUAUCAAUGUGCAAAAUAUUAGAACAAAUUGACUUAUUAAACAAGUUUAAAAGAAAGGAAACACUUUGUUAUGUAAAUGAUCCAGCACUCAAACAUGUUAGAUGCACUGUGUAGGUUAGGUUAUAGUUAGUUAUACUGGGUGGGUUUAUAUUAUUAAAGGGACACUCCAGGCUCCCACACACGUUAGAUGCACUGUGUAGGUUAGGUUACAGUUAGUUAUACUGGGUGGGUUUAUAUUAUUAAAGGGACACUCCAGGCCUCACACACGUUAGGUGCACUGUGUAGGUUAGGUUACAGUUAGUUAUACUGGGUGGGUUUAUAUUAUUAAAGGGACACUCCAGGCUCCCACACACGUUAGAUGCACUGUGUAGGUUAGGUUACAGUUAGUUAUACUGGCUGGGUUUAUAUUAUUAAAGGGACACUCCAGGCUCCCACACACGUUAGAUGCACUGUGUAGGUUAGGUUACAGUUAGUUAUACUGGGUGGGUUUAUAUUCUUAAAAGGACACUCCAGGCUCCCACACACAUUAGAUGCACUGUGUAGGUUAGGUUACAGUUAGUUAUACUGGGUGGGUUUAUAUUAUUAAAGUGACACUCCAGGCUCCCACACACGUUAGGUGCACUGUGUAGGUUAGGUUACAGUUAGUUAUACUGGGUGGGUUUAUAUUAUUAAAGGGACACUCCAGGCUCCCACACACGUUAGAUGCACUGUGUAGGUUAGGUUACAGUUAUACUGGGGGGGGUUAUAUUAUUAAAGGGACACUCCUGGCUCUCUCACACGUUAGAUGCACUGUGUAGGUUAGGUUACAGUUAGUUAUACUGGUUGGGUUUAUAUUAUUAAAAGGACACUCCAGGCUCCCACACAUGUUAGAUGACUGUGUAGGUUAGGUUACAGUUAGUUAUACUGGUUGGGUUUAUAUUAUUAAAGGGACACUCCAGGCUCCCACACACAUUAGAUGCACUGUGUAGGUUAGGUUACAGUUAAUUAUACUUGGUGGGUUUAUAUUAUUAAAGGGACACUCCAGGCUCCCACACAAGUUAGAUGACUGUGUAGGUUAGGUUACAGUUAGUUAUACUGGGUGGGUUUAUAUUAUUAAAGGGACACUCCAUGCUCCCACACACGUUAGGUGCACUGUGUAGGUUAGGUUAAAGUUAGUUAUGCUGGGUGGGUUUAUAUUAUUAAAGGGACACUCCAGGCUCCCACACACGUUAGAUACACUGUGUAGGUUAGGUUACAGUUAGUUAUACUGGGUGGGUUUAUAUUAUUAAAGGGACACUCCAGGCUCCCACACACGUUAGAUACACUGUGUAGGUUAGGUUACAGUUAGUUAUACUGGGUGGGUUUAUAUUAUUAAAGGGACACUCCAGGCUCCCACACACGUUAGAUGCACUGUGUAGGUUAGGUUACAGUUAGUUAUACUGGGUGGGUUUAUAUUAUUAAAGGGACACUCCAGGCUCCCACACACGUUAGAUGCACUGUGUAGGUUAGGUUACAGUUAGUUAUACUGGGUGGGUUUAUAUUAUUAAAGGACACUCCAGGCUCCCACACACGCUAGAUGCACUGUGUAGGUUAGGUUACAGUUAGUUAUACUGGGUGGGUUUAUAUUAUUAAAGGGACACUCCAGGCUCCCACACACGUUAGAUGCACUGUGUAGGUUAGGUUACAGUUAGUUAUACUGGGUGGGUUUAUAUUAUUAAAGGGACACUCCAGGCUCCCACACACGUUAGGUGCACUGUGUAGGUUAGGUUACAGUUAGUUAUACUGGGUGGGUUUAUAUUAUUAAAGGGACACUCCAGGCUCCCACACACGUUAGAUGCACUGUGUAGGUUAGGUUACAGUUAGUUAUACUGGGUGGGUUUAUAUUAUUAAAGGGACACUCCAGGCUCCCACACACGUUAGAUGCACUGUGUAUGUUAGGUUACAGUUAGUUAUACUGGGUGGGUUUAUAUUAUUAAAGGGACACUCCAGGCUCCCACACACGUUAGGUGCACUGUGUAGGUUAGGUUACAGUUAGUUAUACUGGGUGGGUUUAUAUUAUUACAGGGACACUCCAGGCUCCCACACACGUUAGAUGCACUGUGUAGGUUAGGUUACAGUUAGUUAUACUGGGUGGGUUUAUAUUAUUAAAGGGACACUCCAGGCUCCCACACACGUUAGAUGCACUGUGUAGGUUAGGUUACAGUUAGUUAUACUGGGUGGGUUUAUAUUAUUAAAGGGACACUCCAGGCUCCCACACACGUUAGGUGCACUGUGUAGGUUAGGUUACAAUUAGUUAUACUGGGUGGGUUUUAUAUUAUUAAAGGGACACUCCAGGCUCCCACACACGUUAGAUGCACUGUGUAGGUUAGGCUACAGUUAGUUAUACUGGAUGUUUGAAAUGGGCAUCAGAAACCUUAAGGGCCAGCAGAGCAUCUAAUUUACUAUCUUGGUGUUCCAUAGGUUCUAAACUUGGAAAGAGUUUAAUGAAUGUUGCUCGUUGAUGUCAUUGCUCACUGACAAGCUCUGGGCCUCCUGCUUUUGAUUUCUAUGACAGUAAAUUUAAUUUUGCAGCAGAGCCUACUUACUGCCCACAUCCCAGGUUUCUCACUGAUCUGAGUCUGAGCUGGCUUGUAUUCUUAUUUUUGUGAAUAUAACACAUGCAUUGUUAAACAAUCAGCUCAGUAUAUCACUUUAUCUAUAACGCCACAGGGUAACUAGCUAAAUUAUUAUUCAGGAAAGACAAAACGUUUAGUGUCUGAUAUUUAGUCCUUUAUAAAAAAUUAAUGGAAAGAUUUGAUCCAAAAUGUUUUUGUCAACAAGUGAUUUCUUUCCAAAUAGUGUGAAAAUUCCCAUAACAGCUUAUUCCCAUAAGAAUGUAUCCUCUAAGUGGUUAUGGUGCAAUGGAUCUUUGUGUGUCAUUCUCCUGGUUUUUGUCAAACUAUUUUUGAGAAAUUUGACAAAACCUGUGGAUCUCUCUGCAGCAUCCCAACACCCAGUCUCCCUACAGCCACUCAGAUGAUGCAUUUAUUAAAGGGACACUAUAGUCACCAGAACAACUUUAGCUUAAUGAAGCAGUUUUGGUGUAUAGAACAUCCCCCUGCAGCCUCACUGCUCAAUCCUCUGUCAUUUAGGACUUAAAUCCCUUUGUUUAUGAACCCUAGUCACACCUCCCUGCAUGUGACUUGCACAGCCUUCCAUAAACACUUCCUGUAAAGAGAGCCCUAUUUAGGCUUUCUUUAUUGCAAGUUCUGUUUAAUUAAGAUUUUCUUAUCCCCUGCUAUGUUAAUAGCUUGCUAGACCCUGCAAGAGCCUCCUGUAUGUGAUUAAAGUUCAAUUUAGAGAUUGAGAUACAAUUAUUUAAGGUAAAUUACAUCUGUUUGAAAGUGAAACCAGUUUUUUUUCAUGCAGGCUCUGUCAAUCAUAGCCAGGGGAGGUGUGGCUAGGGCUGCAUAAACAGAAACAAAGUGAUUUAACUCCUAAAUGACAGUGAAUUGAGCAGUGAAAUUGCAGGGGAAUGAUCUAUACACUAAAACUGCUUUAUUUAGCUAAAGUAAUUCAGGUGACUUUAGUGUUCCUUUAAGUUUGUCUGACAAUGAUAGAUUGUUAGUGCUGGGAAGAGCCUAACUCAGUACCUCUAGCUAUCUUUCACAACCAAAAUUGGCUACAUAGUUACAUAGUUACAUAGUUACAUAGCUGAAAAGAGACUUGCGUCCAUCAAGUUCAGCCUUCCUCAGAAAUGUUGUUGCUGUUGAUCCAAAAGAAGGCAAAAAACCUGGUCUGAAGCACUUCCAAUUUUGCCACAAACUAGGAAAAAAUUCCUUCUUGACCCCAAAAUAGCAGUCAGAUGUCUCCUUGGAUCAAUCAGCUAUUACCCCACUAAUUAGAAAUUAUAUCCCUGUAUGUUAUGUUUUUGUAAGUAUUUAUCCAAUUUCAGUUUAAACAUCUGUAUGGACUCUGACAAAACCACCUCUUCAGGCAGAGAAUUCCAUAUCCUUAUUGUUCUUACUGUAAAAAAAACUUUUCUUUGCCUUAGAUGAAAUCUCCUUUCUUCCUGCCUAAAUGUGUGACCUCGUGUCCUAUGUAUAACCCUGUUUAUGAAUAGAUUUCCAGAUAAAGGUUUGUACUGGCCCCGAAUAUAUUUGUAUAAAGUUAUCAUAUCCCCUCUCAGGCGCCGUUUUUCCAAACGAAACAGAUUUAAUUUUUGUAACCUUUCUUCAUAACUAAAAUGCUCCAUUCCUUUUAUCAAUUUUGUAGCUCGUCUCUGGACCCUCUCCAGUGCCAUGAUAUCCUUCUUUAGAACAGGCGCCCAAAAUUGCACAGCAUAUUCAAGGUGUGGUCUUACCAGCGAUUUAUAAAGAGGCAAAAUUAUAUUUUCAUCCCGAGAAUUUAUGCCCCUAUUUAUACAUGACAAAAUCUUACUGGCCUUAGCAACUGCAGAUUGACAUUGCAUAUUGCUGCCUAAUUUGUUGUCUAUAACAAUGCCCAAAUCCUUCUCGUGUGUGGUUAUCCCUAAUUCACUACCAUUUAGUGUGUAAGUUGCUUGUGCAUUCUUAACCCCGAAGUGCAUAACUUUGCAUUUCUCUAUGUUAAAUUUCAUCUGCCAUUUUAGUGCCCAGUCCCCCAAUCUAUCCAAAUCUCUCUGCAACAAAGCAAUAUCCUGCUCACAUUUUAUUACUUUACAAAGUUUUGUGUCAUCUGCAAACACUGAUACAUGGCUUUCAAUGCCUAUUUCAAGAUCAUUUAUAAAUAUGUUAAAUAGAAGUGGUCCCAAAACAGAACCCUGAGGGACACCACUUACCACUUUUGUCCAGCCUGAAAAUUUACCAUUAAUUACAACUCGUUGUACUCUGUCCUUAAGCCAAUGUUCUACCCAAGAACAGGAAUAUUCAUCUAGACCAAUUUCUUUUAGUUUGAAGACUAACCUAUUGUGAGGAACCGUAUCAAAUGCCUUGGCAAAGUCCAAGUAGAUCACAUCCACUGCAACACCCUGAUCUAUACUUCUACUUACUUCUUCGUAGAAUGCAAUUAGGUUAGUUUGACAUGACCUAUGUUUCAUAAAACCAUGCUGAUUAUUGCUAAUAACAAAGUUCUUCCCAAUGAAUUCCUGAAUAUUAUCCCUUAAUAGCCCUUCAAAUAUUUUCCCAGUUACUGAAGUUAAGCUCACAGGUCUAUAAUUUCCAGGCAAGGAUUUUGAACCCUUUUUAAAUAUAGGAACAACAUCUGCCUUCCUCCAAUCCUCCGGUACAACACCUGAAACAAAAGAAUCUUGAAAAAUUAGCAUAGUGUCAACUUAUCCACAUUUAAACUAUUUCCCAGGGGUGACUGGGAAAUGAUAAGUUGCUAUGGUGUUCUGCAGUCCUGAUCUCAACUACCAUUGCUGACCAUUGAGUCUAAAAUGGUCGGGACACUGAACUUUAGUUAAAAUUUAAGGAGUGUUCAUUGUGUGCAUUCCUUUUCCUCGCCCAGGGUUUUAUCAGAGGCUUAAGGCUAAGUGAUUUUUAACUAUGGAUUUUGACAGUUCCUUUAAAGAUGACUGAAUAAAAUCUGUAUGAUGUUACAAAAGCAGAACUCCCUACUCCUUAUGAUAUAACAAUUUAACAAUAUUCUGUUGUUCUCUGCAUAGUAUUUCACAAGCAUCAUUUAUACGAACUGAUUGGCACCAUAAAUAUCUUACAUGUGUGUACCUACUUGAUCAUUGAUAUUGUAUUGUCAUUUUAUUGGUUUACCCUUCAUUAAUUAAUCUUGGAUGCGAUAUUUGUUAUCUUCAGGGCCCAAACCUUCUUCCAAACUACUCUACGGCUGCGCUACCAAAAGUAUCUGUGAGAUUGGUAAGAAUGCUCUUCAAAUUGAGAAUGUCAAAAUCGAAACCAAGUGCACAUGUACGGGUAGAAGUGUCAGUCUGUACAGCGGAUUCUCAUAUGCACUAACUAUUGCUACUGUCCUGACUAAACUCGUUUUAUCAUAAACAAG
rnacentral:lncRNA from 1 species